rnacentral:rRNA from 1 species
AUGUUCAACACCUACAUGAAGUCAUCAUCGACAAAACCCAAGGGUCAGCAGUCAGUGAUUUGCAGCAUGUCAGACCAAAGUGAUAGUCAGAACAAGUCAGAAGAGCAGAUUCACAUGAGUGAGGGCACUAGUCCCUCAAGUUCUUCAGAUGAUGGCAGCAGGAGCACCCCAAGCAAUCUGCCUAAAGCUACCACCAGGACAAGGAAGAAGAGAACCUCAGAAUCUGAGGAUGAGGAUUAUAUGACAGAAGAAGAUGAGGCUACUUCCAAGAAGGUAGUGCUCAAAAAGGAGUAUGGCUCAGCAAAGACCACAAAGCCUGGACUCAAUAGGAAGGUUCCUGCCAAGAGGACACCUAUGCUGAAGGUCAGAGGAUCAACUCAAGUGCCUGAAAAGACUGAUCCCAAAGAGCCAGAGUUGUUAGUCAACCUUCCAUGA